rnacentral:rRNA from 1 species
UGGGGAAUAUUGCACAAUGGGCGCAAGCCUGAUGCAGCCAUGCCGCGUGUGUGAAGAAGGCCUUCGGGUUGUAAAGCACUUUCAGCGGGGAGGAAGUCGGUGAGGUUAAUAACCUCAUCGAUUGACGUUACCCGCAGAAGAAGCACCGGCUAACUCCGUGCCAGCAGCCGCGGUAAUACGGAGGGUGCAAGCGUUAAUCGGAAUUACUGGGCGUAAAGCGCACGCAGGCGGUUUGUUAAGUCAGAUGUGAAAUCCCCGGGCUCAACCUGGGAACUGCAUCUGAUACUGGCAAGCUUGAGUCUCGUAGAGGGGGGUAGAAUUCCAGGUGUAGCGGUGAAAUGCGUAGAGAUCUGGAGGAAUACCGGUGGCGAAGGCGGCCCCCUGGACGAAGACUGACGCUCAGGUGCGAAAGCGUGGGGAGCAAACAGG